rnacentral:snoRNA from 1 species
AACUAAUGAUGCUUAAUUUAAGAGUAGUGGACAGAAGUGAUUUCUGAAACCGCUUAACUGAAGUU